UACAUGGAAAAUUGUACUUGAUACCUUUGGUUGGCACGGCAACCGACAGCUCAUUCACCAGCCAGCAGCUCUCUGGUGUGACGCCGUUAUGGCCGAGCUGAGGAGGACAGAGAAUCAGGGGGAAGAUAAAAGUAGGAAUUGAUAUAUCAUUUGAUUUUGUUUGAUAUUGGCACCGGAAGGCAAGAAAUUAAUUAUGCUGCGUGAGAAUGGCUUUAUUUAAAUCUUCGACGUCAUCUGAGGAGGCGGCAGAGACGAGACGGCUUCGCAGAUUUAGCAACAGAGACGGUCCCAGAUUCUCACCUCCACCCUCUUGAUCUCUCCCACGUCAGUUCCAUAAGACACAAAGUGCUCCAUGGUGCCGACUGUGAAGGACGUCUUUCCCUCAGGCAGGUCCAGCCACAGUCGCUCCGUCUCAGUCUCGGUGGGGCCGGUGAUGAUGACAUAGACCCUGGCUGUGGUGCUGGCAUCACGGUCUAUCCCCGUGGACAAGGUGAAGUGAUAGGGGAUGACUAGCCAGCGCUCACACAGGAACAUGUACACCUCCUCCGUUUCCAAAUCCAGCACCUCCACCUGGUCCAGGUACCAGUCAGCCCCCAUCAUGGAGUUGUCGUGACGAAUAUGGAUCUUAAACACUUGCCCCAGAUCCACAGCCUCGAUGGAGAACUUGUCCACCUGAGGGGCAGAGAGGAUGUAUCACGCUUUUCCCUCAAGAGAGCUGAAAGAAAUGUGACGUAAUCAAUCCCACGUUUCCCCACAUACCGCUCCUCUCUCAAACUUGUUCUUGUUGCUCUCAGAUUUGACCAGUUUGCGCUCUCCUGUGUCUCCCAGGUCUCCGUAGAUGGUGAGAAAGACGUUGGCAUCAGUCCCGGCUCCGUGCGUAUCACCUGUCCGCACUGACACCUUGUACGUGUGAGCUGUGGUGGAAAAAAUCAAUCAAUCAACAACUGAGUAGAUGCAGGCUACACUUUGUUUUCUCACGGAUUUGUAAAAUGAGUAAAUGUAGAGUUUUCAUGCUGUGACUGUGACUAUAUGCUAUUUUUUCAAUUAUUCAAGGAAAUGCUUUGUCUAUACAAUAAAUCUAAAUGGU